rnacentral:snRNA from 1 species
AUCGCUUCUCGGCCUUUUGGCUAAGAUCAAAGUGUAGUAUCUGUUCUUAUCAGCUUAAUAUCUGAUACGACGUCGACAUGACGUCAAGAUAUUAAACUAAUUUUUGCAGAUAGGCUUGUGGUUAGGAAUUUUAUUCCGCCCUCGCCACGGGUUGGCCUGCUAUGGCACUACUUGCAGGAUACGGCCCACAAUAU